GUGUUCACUUCAGCAGCAAAUAUACCAAAAUUGGAAUGAUACAGAGACGAUCAGCAUGGCCUCUGCACAAGGAAUGACACGAAAUUCAUGAGGCAUUUCAUGUUUAA
ensembl:snRNA U6 U6 spliceosomal RNA